UCCCAGGACUACAUUGAAUUCCAUUUCUC
rnacentral:piRNA from 1 species